UGUACCUUUGGUCUUUAUUACCUUGUGUUUACCUGUAACUGAAUUUCUUAAUGAAUACCUCAAUGAAAAUAUUUUUUUUCCAGGUAUUAUUUUGAAAUCCUUAGAGAAGGAAAAAGCCCACAAGAAAUUCUUGUUGAAAAGGACUCAGAGGCAAGAAAACGUGAUAAAGUGUGAAAAUCAGAAUAUCAGCAAAGUAUCCAAUAACCUUUCAACCCUUCUACAGCAUGGAAAAAGUUAUUCCAAGGCUGUUAAUGAGGUGAAAUAACUUUCUCUGCUCUCUGCAUUCUUGUAGAGGGUAUCCUCCGAGUACGGGAACUAACAAAUCGUUUUCCAGUUGAGACAAUUUUAGCAAUGUGAUCAGAGUGCUGGUGAGUUGUUCCUACAAAUCUCUGAUAAUGUUUCUCAAAUCUUCCUCUCUUCUUACGUGCUACCUUGUUCCCAUAAACUGCUAAUAUGGCCAUUUUCCUGCAAAUAAUAACUGUUCCAGCUGCUCUGUCCUUGAAAUACGCGUCACAUAAUGCACACAGCAAACCUUUUCCAUUUUCUAGUA
rnacentral:lncRNA from 1 species